GGCAAGAUGGCCGAGUGGUUAAGGCGUCAGCCUCGAAUAUGCGAGUACUACCAAGUGACUUCCAUCUUUAGCUGAUCCUUCGGGGUCCUGGGUUCAAAUCCCAGUCUUGUCG
rnacentral:tRNA from 1 species